rnacentral:rRNA from 1 species
UACGGAGGGGGCUAGCGUUGUUCGGAAUUACUGGGCGUAAAGCGCACGUAGGCGGCUUUGUAAGUUAGAGGUGAAAGCCCGGGGCUCAACUCCGGAAUUGCCUUUAAGACUGCAUCGCUAGAAUUGUGGAGAGGUAAGUGGAAUUCCGGAGUGUAGAGGUGAAAUUCGUAGAUAUUCGGAAGAACACCAGUGGCGAAGGACGACUUACUGGACACAUAUUGACGCUGAGGUGCGAAAGCGUGGGGAGCAAACAGG